GCUGGGGUAGCCAAGUCCGGCCCAAGGCGCCAGCCUUGAGAGCUGGUGUGCCUAACGGCACUCAGGGGUUCAAAUCCCCUCCCCAGCG
rnacentral:tRNA from 2 species